UAAAAAUAAAAAUAAUUAACAUAUUUAAGUAUAUAAUUGUGAUUUAGAUAUGUUUGGUAUCCAAAAUAUUUUAGUUUGGAUCAGAUUCAGAUCUGCUUAUCUGGAUAUUAAACUUUUAGAUCUAUCUGAGUACUUAAAUCAGUUUUAGUUUGUGUUUAGUAUUACUUUCAAAUCUAGUUCAGUUCGUUUCUUCGGAUCUAGAUAUUUUGCACAGACUUACUUUCUUCGGAUAAUAUAAAGCAAAAUAAAAUAAAUGUAAAAUAAAUAUUCUAAGCUCGUUCACAUACAUAAUUAUUGGAUCAUACUUUAAGAAUACCAAUAAAAACGGUUGGGCGUCGUGUCAAUGUUGUUGGACAUGUUGCAAAACUGGCGUAGUUUAUAACCAAUAACGUAUUUUCUUAUAAAAAUAAUUGGUAAAUAUAAUAAAAACACGAUACAAUCAAGUGAAAAUUGUUAGAGUUAAGUGGAAAAUAAUAUGAUCUCUUCAGUCGGCACCUGAAUUUUGCUUUUUCAAUCGGUUCAUGAAUUUUCUUCUUCUUUUAAAGCUUUUAUGAUUUCUGAUUGUUUGUAGCAAUUUGAUUAUGUUUCCAAUUCUUGGUUUGAUAUGAAAAUUUUGUAAAAAAAAGUAAUAUUUGGCUAAACUAAAGAUCUGACUCUGUGUGUGACAUUUUUUACCUCAAUUUCCUUAAUAACCAAUCACAAUUAUUUAUUGUCUUCGUGUACAUAAACCUUAACCAUGGCUAACUUCGACAAUAUACGAAUCUUUCAGUUUCUAAAAACAUUCUCAUUCCAGCAUUUUAGUUGGUGUGAAUUUUAAUGAUUUUGAAUUUUUUUCUUUUAAAAUGAUAUUAUUUAGUAGUAGUACAAAGUGAAUUUCAGUUCACUAAUACAAAGAUUAAAAAUGCAAGAACUAAAAAUGAACUGAUUAAAAAAAAUUAGUGUCAACACUUUAAAUUAUCUGCGGUGGAGUUAAAAAAUUAGUGUGUGAGCACAUUUAUUGUUAAAUGAUUGUGAGGGUGACACGUCAGCAUACUCAAAUUUAAAUCGAUGUGAAGCUGUCACGUGUCAAAUGUAGUGUGAAAGCAUUAAGUAACAGUGCUUCUCUUUUAAUAUAUAAGAGAUUCUCAUUAGCGCUCUCCUAUUAUCAUCUUCAUCCUCAUCAUCAUUCAACGAGCCUCACAUAUUACGAUGCCUACACAUAUAAGGAUCAUUUCUCUUGUGAUAAACAACAUCAUUGAAUAGUGAACCAUUUUGCUCAUUCAUCGUCGGAUGUCUUCUUUUUUCUCAGGAGUUUUAGGUGGAAACCAUGAUACUUGGUUCAUGUUAUCUUUGUAGCCUAUGUAUUCCACAAGUGCGAGAACCGACUGCAAAGUAAAACCAUCAGCUGCUCUUCUACCGCCUUCAUGAACUUCAUCUCCAUGAUAUUCGUCUUUGCUGCUCCAAUAUCCACCAGUGUAGAAAGAGGUCAAAGCUGUAAGGGAAUCGUUCACCAAUGAGAAAAUCAAGCAAUCUAUCAAAUUAUCAAUUGAUACAAAAAAAUUAUCAAAGAAGGUCUCUGGUUACUUACCUCAACGUCAUGGCCCUUCUCUUGCUCAAUUAUCUUAAAAUAGAGCAGAGAACUGAAGAAAUUGACUUAAAUCAUCAUGAAUCACAUAAUCAAUUGAAAUUUUGAAGGUUGAGUUGAAAGCACCAAUUCUCCACUCUUAGAACCCUAAUUCGCGAUUUAAGAAUGCUACAAGACUUAUUUUCGUUUAAGAACGAAUUUAAAAUGGAAAUGGUGCAGUUUCAAUCGAAACGCAAAUAGCCGUUUUUGAAAAUGUCCCUUUAGUGGUGGUAAAAAUGAAAAGUGGUAGUAUGAAAGUGGUAAACAUAUAAUUUUCCCAUAUAUUAAAUAAAUAUGUCUGGUAGGUGGGUUGGUUGGCUCGGUUGUUAAGUUGUGUCAGGUGCUAGGUUUGAAUCCCGUCGGAUGCAACAUUUUUAGUUUAAUGCUUAAUAUCAAAAUGACGUAGUUUUGAUUUAUGUUAAAUAGUAAUCGGCUGCCACAUCAAUUAAUAGAUUAAUGUAAAUCAUCAAAUUGAUGAAAUAGACUUAAUAUAAUUUUUAUGCUAGAUAAAAAUUCUACUUCUCUUUUUAAUAGAAAAUCUACUACCAUAUUUAAUGAUGAUGUAUAAUUUACUUUAAUGAUAUAUUUUAAUGGUGAUGUAUAAUUUACUACCAUAUUCUAAAAAGUUUACUAAAAAUAUAAUUGUUCAUGUCACAUUUAAUCAUAAGUCAUGUCAUCAAUUGUAGUAUGUCAUGUCAUAUUUAUUUAGUGAAAGUAAUUAUAGAGAAAACAUGUGUCAAAAUCACUUUACAAAUAAUGUCUAGGAGAUUCUUCCAUAAAUUGAUUAUUUUUGUAAUUUCUACCAAAGCUUUUGGUUAUGCUUGAAGAUAAUUGAAACCAAGAACAAAAAGAGAAGGAGAGUUGGUUUGCUCGUUUGUUAAGUUGUGUCAGGUGCAAGGUUUGAAUCCCGUCGGAUGCAACAUUUUUAGUUUAAUGCUUAAUAUCAAAAUGACGUAGUUUUGAUUUCUGUUAAAUAGUAAACGGCUGUCACAUCAAUUAAUUUUCAAAACGACAACCACACUGAGAGUUUUUUUUUGUAGAAAACCCUAUAACCAAAUUUUUUUUUAUCAGCAUGACUAAUUACAAAAUUAAUUAAUAAAUUAAAUAAAAAAAUUGUUAGAUUUUUUCUCAACUGAUUUUUUUAUUACGAAAAAUAAAAUUUAAAAUUACACGUAAAAAUGAUUUAUUAUUUAUAUCUUUAUAAUUAUUAAGAUUUUCUAGUAAUUUAAUAUAUUUAAUAGAUUAAUGUAAAUAAUCAAAUUGAUGAAAUAGACCUAAUAUAAUUUUUUAUGCUAGAUAAAAAUUGUACUUCUCUUUUUAAUAGAAUAUCUACUACCAUUUCCUAGCAUUCCUUAAAAAAAUCACAUUUCAUAAGAAAUAAUUUUUCAUUUUCAUUUCUUACCAUUCAUUUUUUGUAGAGAAAUAAAGAACAAAUUAAUUUCUUGUUAAAUAUGGGAUAAAACAACCUUUCAGUUUCAUUCUUGCAAUUUUAUUCUUAUACGUUCAUUUCCUAUUCGUUCUUCUUGUUUCCAGAAAGGUCACCAGUCGGACCCAUAUAAUCAUGGAUCUCAAACACUGCGAAGUCGUCACCAGUCGGACCGUUAUAAUCAUGGAUCUCAAACACUACGAAGUCAGUAAGAUGGGAUUUUUUAAAAUUAGAGAAUCACCAACUAAAUACGGGAAGAUUUGAACAAAUAAUCAAAUCAUUAAUGCUUGAACAAAUAAAUCAAAUCAUUAAUGCAGUAAAUCUAAAUAUAUUUGUUUCAUUUUUAUAUAUACUUGUUUAAGUGUCUACUAGACUUUGACCCAUACUAUACUUUGAUCCGCGCUUAGAAAGCGCAGAUUUAUUUUUAAAAUUAAAUAUAUUACUUUUAUAUAAUUUAUAUAUAAUAUAAUGUAUAAGUUUGGGUACAUUUACCUGAGUGUACUGAACCGUACCCGAUUGAAAAAAAAAACUAAAAUUAAGCUGAAUUUCAUAAGAAACCGAGCAUAUCACAUAUCUUUGGAAUCGAAAAAUAGAAACUGAAUUGAAAACCAAAUGAAUACUUAAAUUUUUAAAAUACAAACUAUCUACCUACAAAUAUUUAUUAUAUUUAAAUUCUAAAUAAUCAAAUAUCCUAAAAAUACUAUUUAUAAACCAAAUUAUGCAAAAAAAAACUAAUGACUCGAAUUUUUUUUAUUCAAAUAAUUAAUAGUUAAUUAUUUAUCUUAUAUUUUUUUUCCAAACAACCUAAACUGCCCGAUUUAAAACGCAAGAUAUUUUACAUUUGUGAAAAUUCAAUAAAACGUAUCAUAUGCAUUGUUAGAAUUUGUAAAAUAAAUAAAUAUGUUAUAUUUAAACCAGUCUUUUUUUACCAAUUUCAUUUAAAUCUUCAACCCGUUUAGACCCAUUUGAUAUUUUUUAUGAUAAGAUUAAUCAUUUAGUUCAUAUAUAAGAAUGUACGAUCAAAUCUUAAUAAUUGAUUGCAUGUAAUCAAUUAAAUUAAUGUUUCAUAGUUGAAUAGUUGACAUUAUGGAUUUUAGUUUCCAAUUCACGUAAAAAUGAAAAAAAAAAUUGUUAUACACCAGAGAAUUCUCCAUUACAACAUAUAUUAAACAUAAGUAAACCAUUAAAAUUUUAUACUAUUAAUGGAACUAUAUGUGGUAAUGAUCACGCCAUGUGUAAACAUGUUUGAAUAAUCUGUCAUAUAUUCAUGUGGAUUUAUUGUUAGGGUAAUUGUAUAAUAGAUAAUGCGAGAAUAAUAAAUGAAUUCAUUUAAAUUAUGUAAAUUAUUUAUAUAGUUAGAAAAAUAUAAGGAAAGACCAAAAAAAUAGUUAAGUCUAAUGAAAUGAUCUAACAACUUUGGUUAAGUAGAUUUUUUAAGAAUAUUUCCCUUUUAAUAGUAUAGAUGUCAAAAUAUUGUAGAUCAUGAGCAUAAAAUAUAGUGUAGAACAUUAUUGAUUAACAAUCACUAUGAUGAGAGAUAUAAUUAAUUUAUAAAAGAAGUGUAUUACAUAAAAUAAAGAGUAAUAAUAUAAUAUUUGAACCAUGUUUUUAGUUGGAUGAUUGUAUUAUUAGAUGGUCCAUCAUGAAAAAGUUAUGUAUCCCUUUAUUAUUAUUUGAGGAGCAUUAAAAAUAAAUAACUUUUAGUUCAUGUGUUUAUUACAAGUGUGUCAUUUCUUACGUGGCAACUCCACAAGCUCCCUCACCUAUUCUAUUUAAAACCCCUUUGUUAACUAGAGUAAUUACACAACAUGCCAUUGAUCAAAACUUUAUAAUUUCCUUAGUAUUGUACUAAUUAAGUAUGCAGUUCGUUUUAAUAAAGAAGUAUAAACAAUAAACAAUAAAUAGACGGUUGCAUGUACAUAAAUGCACAUGAGGCCGAGUUUCUAUAAUUUGGUUCUUUCUCCCUUUGGUAUCAAUAUUAAUUAAUACUAACGUAUUGUUAGAGAAAGAAGAAAAAAUCGGGUAAAUAUAUGGUCUUGAGUAAUAUAUUGUUACAGACAUAUAAAUCAAGUAAGACCAAAAUAAAUAAAUCUGAUGAAAGAAUUCAAACAACUUUCAUAAGUAGAUUUUUUAGGACUCAUUCUCUUUUAAUAGUAUUGAUAAAAGAAUAAAAUAUUAUCCCACCAAUAUUGAAACAUAAUUAGGAAAGAUAAUCUUUUUCUUUCUUUUUGGUUAUAAUCUAAAAAUUAAAUUGAAAGAUUUCUGACCACAAAAUAUCUUUUUACACAUAUAGGUGUUCUUAUAUAUAGAACCUUCUCUAGUAAAACGAAAAAGAUGAAGAAAACUUCAUUAGAGAUGGCUAUCACCAAGAAAAUGUUAGUGGCAAUUAUUUUCAGCAUCUUCUUCAUUGUGUCCUCUGUUCAUUGCUCCGACCGCACUCUUGGUUAUGGAAUAAAUCAAGAUUUUAAAAAAUGCUUCCCAAAGCAGCCGUGUGGAGAUUCUUGCAGAGACUACUGUCAAACUCAUGUUAGUCUUGUGGGAUUAUGGGAAACUUGUGAAAACGGCGGAUGUUGUUGUACAAGCAAGAUAUCCUAAUAAUAAUAUCAUCAAAUAUAUGCAUCUGCUAGAAGAAUAAUAUAGUUACUUUUCAUAUGGUUUAUAAUUACUUUGUUAGCCUCUAUUGCUCAGAGAUGAAUUAACGAUCCAUCUUUAAGAGGAAAAA